CCUACGGGAGGCAGCAGUGGGGGAAUAUUGCACAAUGGGGGGAAACCCUGAUGCAGCGACGCCGCGUGGAGGAAGAAGGUCUUCGGAUUGUAAACUCCUGUUGUUGAGGAAGAUAAUGACGGUACUCAACAAGGAAGUGACGGCUAACUACGUGCCAGCA
rnacentral:rRNA from 1 species